AGAGUUUGAUCCUGGCUCAGGACGAACGCUGGCGGCGUGCUUAACACAUGCAAGUCGAACGGUGAACCCGCUUCGGUGGGGGAUCAGUGGCGAACGGGUGAGUAACACGUGGGCAACCUGCCCCUGGCUCUGGGAUAACUCCAAGAAAUUGGGGCUAAUACCGGAUAUGACCGCUGACCGCAUGGUCUGGUGGUGGAAAGUUUUUCGGCUGGGGAUGGGCCCGCGGCCUAUCAGCUUGUUGGUGGGGUAGUGGCCUACCAAGGCGACGACGGGUAGCCGGCCUGAGAGGGUGACCGGCCACACUGGGACUGAGACACGGCCCAGACUCCUACGGGAGGCAGCAGUGGGGAAUAUUGCGCAAUGGGCGAAAGCCUGACGCAGCGACGCCGCGUGGGGGAUGACGGCCUUCGGGUUGUAAACCUCUUUCAGCAGGGACGAAGCGAAAGUGACGGUACCUGCAGAAGAAGCACCGGCCAACUACGUGCCAGCCGCCGCGGUAAUAC
rnacentral:rRNA from 1 species